UUUUAAUAACAGAAGUCCAGUUUUAAACAUGGAUAGAAUUAAUCAGCGAGGAGUAUUCGGAGUAUUCCUAGCACUAUUCAUUGGAGUUGUGUAUGUUUACGAGAUGAGGUUGAAUAAAGUUUAUCAGGAUGGAAUCAAACGCGACAAAGAGUUGUCAGUCAUCAAAAUAAAACAUGAGAAUUUAGAAGCAAAAGUACAAAUGCUGAAAGAUGAAGUUGACAGAGAAGGAAUCAUACUGUCACUCGUUAAAAGAAGAAAUGAGGAUUUAGAAGCAAAAA